rnacentral:rRNA from 1 species
UACAGAGGGUGCAAGCGUUGUUCGGAAUUAUUGGGCGUAAAGCGCGUGUAGGCGGCUUGGCAAGUCGGGUGUGAAAUCCCUCGGCUUAACCGAGGAACUGCCCUCCAAACUGCUUGGCUUGAGUCCGGGAGAGGUGAGUGGAAUUCCCAGUGUAGCGGUGAAAUGCGUAGAUAUCAGGAGGAACACCGGUGGCGAAGGCGGGUCUCUGGGCCGAUACUGACGCUGAGGAGCGAAAGCGUGGGGAGCGAACAGG